UACGGAGGAUGCAAGCGUUAUCCGGAAUGAUUGGGCGUAAAGCGUCCGCAGGUGGCUGUGUAAGUCUGCUGUUAAAGAGUCAUGCUCAACAUGAUAAGAGCAGUGGAAACUACACGGCUAGAGUGCGUUCGGGGCAGAGGGAAUUCCUGGUGUAGCGGUGAAAUGCGUAGAGAUCAGGAAGAACACCGGUGGCGAAGGCGGGUCUCUGGACAGUUCCUGACACUGAGACACGAAGGCCAGGGGAGCAAACGGG
rnacentral:rRNA from 1 species